UUACGGCCACAUUCACGUUGAAACGCCGGUUUGCGUACAAUCAACAAAGUUAAGCAACUUUGAGCCUGCUCAAUUCCUAGAUGGGUGACCGCCUGGGAAUACCAAGUGAUGU